AACCGAAUAAAGAAGAGUUAUUGGCUCUCGUAUCGGUGAAGAACGUAGUGAAACGCAAUAUUUGGCGUAAAUUACAAAAAUUUGUGUACCAUCGGGUCUUUGAACUCAAAUUACGAUGAAAGUUAUUAAGCCGAACAAAAUCACUUAAAUGACA
rnacentral:rRNA from 1 species